CGAGAGAUGGAGGUACCGGCAGGCAGCGAGCAGAGGCACUGCGGUCUUAUUUCUACUUUCUCAUGAUACAAAACCAAUGAAGUGCACCACAGCCCAUGCCAUUACCUAACAUCUUACAGAAGGACUGCCGAAGUGGAAUAUGGUGUGGAAAUGUGAACGUAGACAUGGACACUGAAAAUGCCCCAAACAGUUCUUUCUGUCGCAAGAGCAACAAAACUCUUCCAUCUAUGCUUUCACUGCUUCUCUAUAGGGAGUGGAAGAUGUGUUGGUACAUAGAAGCCUGAGUAGCACUGAGAUGAGAGCAAUGUAAAUAUAUAAACAGGAAUGCUAAGGUUGUCCUCAGCUGCCCUGGUACUGCAGCACACCUGGUGCAUAGGGUACCCAUAGCUUGGGGAACCCUUCCUGUUCUG
ensembl:lncRNA